rnacentral:rRNA from 1 species
UGGGGAAUAUUGCACAAUGGGGGAAACCCUGAUGCAGCGACGCCGCGUGAACGAAGAAGGUAUUCGUAUCGUAAAGUUCUGUCCUAUGGGAAGAUAAUGACAGUACCAUAGAAGAAAGCUCCGGCUAAAUACGUGCCAGCAGCCGCGGUAAUACGUAUGGAGCGAGCGUUGUCCGGAAUUAUUGGGCGUAAAGGGUACGCAGGCGGUUUAAUAAGUCGAAUGUUAAAGAUCGGGGCUCAACCCCGCAAAGCAUUGGAAACUGAUAAACUUGAGUAGUGGAGAGGAAAGUGGAAUUCCUAGUGUAGUGGUGAAAUACGUAGAUAUUAGGAGGAAGGCCAGGAGCGAAGGCGACUUUCUGGACACAAACUGACGCUGAGGUACGAAAGCGUGGGGAGCAAACAGG